CUUGUCAGGACAUGUUUCCCCUGAGGGGAAGCACUACCGCAAAGCCAUUUAUUUCAGGCAGAAAUCAGCUGCCUGACCCGUGUCGCUGUUGAGGAUUUACUCGGGAGCUGCUGAUGUGCCAGUCCCGUGGCGCUCCGAAGGAGGCGCUGAGAGCGAGUGCUGCCGCUCCACUGCGGGAAUGCUCCUUAGAGCUGGGGACAAGUGACUUUCCGUGACUUUUCCCACCAUUCCCUCUCUGCAGCCUUGCCCAUGGCAUGAGGGAUUCACCCUGGGAACAGGCAGGGAUUUGCCCGGAGCUGCCAGGGCAGGCGGGGGGCUGUGCCUGGCCGUCCUGCCCCGCUGGGCUCCCGCGGGGUGAGGACACGGCUGGCAGCCACCCACGGCUGCCCUUACAGGCUCAAGGAGCACCAGGCUGGCCCCGCACAUGCCUUGGGAAAAGGGCUUUGCUUGGGAUUAAAGGCAGCUCCUGGCUGGGGUUGGUGCUGGUUUGCUGCGGGAGCAGGGGUCCUGUCCCGGCUCUGCCUGACUCCACAUGGAUUGCUGCUGCAUGUCCUGGAGAGACUCCUUCCCUGGCCCCACAUGGAUCCACUUCAGCAGCAAAUGUUGCUUCUGACAUCUUGCUUCUCCCACUGCUGAGUUCCUUUUGUGCCUCCAGGCAGGAUAAAAUUGAAGUGAGAGGGAAGAUGAAGAGUGGGGCAGUUCAGCAACAGGGACCCCUCAUCCUCUCUGGGGUAGGUUCCCCCUUGCCUUCCUCCGUGCUGCUUUUUGUUCCCUUCACACGGCAGGGAUGGGUGAGCUGCUCCAGCCCUUCCCACCCCACAGGGAUGUGUGAGCUAUUGCCUGCUGGAGGUACCCACAGAGGUCUGUGUAAAUGCCCAGUUUGCUGAGACAGAGCAGGGAUGUGGCUCCAGAGACCGGCUGUGCUGGGAGCAGACAGUCGGAACCUGCAAGCCAGCACCUCUCUUCUUGCUCCCUUCCUGCCUGGUGCUUCUCUGUUCUCCAGCCUUUGAAUCCAGAUGGUGCCUUGGGCUCUUUCCCCCCUUUUUCUUUUCUUUUUCUUACAUGGGUAUUUUUAUCCUCUUGUCUUUUGCUCUUUGGGCUUGUGGGUGCCUGUUGCAGCCACUGGUGCCUGUGGGUGCAGGCAGGAGGGAGGGCUGGGAGGAGAUUUCAGCUGCAAUAACGCAAAUGACGCAAGGCCCGAGCACAGUUCAUAAAGCCAUGCUGCUUGUCAAGCCCAAUCACAUCUCAGAAAUGGGACGAGGAGCAAUUUCCCAACAUGUGGGGCUUGGGUGGCUGAGCCCCAGCACUGUGCCCCAAAGCACACUCCUGUGGAGUGCCCGCAGUUGGAGCAGGGCUGGAGCAUGGCAUGGGGUGGUCCUCAGCCCUGGCAGUGUGGUGGGCUGGGUGGUGGCAGCUGCAUCACCUCAUGUGCUGGAUUUGUCAGGAUCUGAGCUCACUGAGCACGGCUCUUCAGACACUCUCCUGCUCCAUGGGGGAUUAGGGGCUUCCAUGCAAGGGCAGACUUACGCUGUCCCCACUAUUUCAAAAUGAAGCAUCCAGACCCUACUUUAUCCAACUUUAUUGAGAUGGAAACAGCUAAAGGGAAUAAAUACUGGUUCCAGAGGAGGCACUUAGUUCUGCUAGUGCUGGCUCUGCAUUUCAGUGCUCUGUAGAGAUACAUGGAACACCUCAGCAAAACCAUCCCUGCCUUUCCUCCCUCUUCCCUUCACCCAGGUAAACAAAGCAGGCUUGAAGUCUGAGUUCUUUCCUUUUUCAAACAAUUCCUUUAUUUUUCCCUGUGUUUAUCAUGUUUUCUGUGCCUGUGUCCUUUCUCCUUCUCCUGCAGGAAGACUGGAGAGGGUGAGUUUGUCCUGCACCCCUCCCUGACCUGCUGUCUUGCUUCACCAGCAUGGGAGCCUGAGCCCUCGGUCACUGGGCCAGCACUGGGCAGGCAGAGACCAUGGAGCUGGAGACAGGUGGAAGAAGCAUGAUAGGGGUUAAAAAUCAUCACAUGAAAAUCGGGGGUCUCUUGCAGCCUUUAAGACAGAUCCCUACAUUUCUCUGCAACUCUGAGGACCAAGGACCUUGAUGCAAGUAAGGGAUUUGGCACCUCCAUGCUUCACCAAGGUUUUUCAGGUUUAAAACCACCGUGCUCAGGUGUGCACACCUUGGGGCAGGGCUGGGAUGGCGCUGCUGGCCGUGCUGCCAGAGGAGAUGCUUAGCUGGAGCAUCUCUGUGCUGGGCUGAGGGGUCCUGUGGGUGCCCAGUGGGCUCUGUGCAGGUACCAAGGGCACAGGGCAGGACAGCCCAGCUCCUUCCUUAGCCUGUGAGUGUGGUACUGUCUCACUGCUCGAUGCCAGAGCUGCUCCAGCUAUGCUGCAUUUCUAGUACUCAACAAUACUGUGCAUUUUCCUGUGUGGGAAGGUCAGGACUAGAAACAAAGCCCUGCAGUGGAAGGCAGGCCUGUCCAGCAUCCUGCAUGGGAAUGCAGAAGCCCUUCUUAUGUCAGCAGUGCUUGCAGUGGUCUGCAGAGUGUAUGAAGAGAUGUUCUGAAGCACCUUAAUUGUGAUUUAAAUCACGGGCACAAAGCACUAAUGUCUGUCCGAUGAAGCCCAGGGCAGAUCUGGAGCACAUAAACCUCUGCCCAUCUGCAGUGGGAUGUGCAGUGCGGGGAGUGGGCAGGGAUCUCCUGCAGCCCCCGGGCCCCUCCUGCUGCUGGGAGGCUCCGGGUGGGUGUCCGUGUGUCCCAGAGCCUCUCCAGAGAGUGGAGCUGCUGUCACCGCAUCCCUGCUGCCCGCUCCUUGCUGCCCAGCCCCGGCGCUGGCUGUGCCAGCAGUUCCUGCGGUGCCUGACUGAGUGCCCAGGGGAAAGCGAUGGCUGCGGAGGGAAUGAAUGAAGGAUUCUGCAUCCUAUUUACCAGGAGUUAAUGUUCAGAGAAUAUUUCCAGGCGCCUUUCAGCGUCUCCAGCUCGGGACUGGAAGGAAGGAGACAGGUGCCACCUUGUGUGGAAACAUUUCUCCAUGCAGCGGGCACAGGCAGAAUUCCUUUCCCCCUUUUGUUUUUGGCGUCAUUGCAAACUCCUCCCAGAGGCAGAAGGCAGCCAGCCCUCGUACAGCCCUGGCAGAUGUUUCACGGCCACCGCAGCACGGAGCCCUCGCUGAGAGCGCGGCUCGCCCGGUUACAGCCAGCGAAACCCCAAGGACCAGGAGGAGGUGCCGGGGCUCAGAGGCUGGAGACGACCUGGAAAUGUCUGCAGGCAGCCCAGAGCCCCCCGUGCCCUGGGCUGAUCCCAGCGUGGGCAGCAGGGGAGGGGAGAUUCUGCCCCUCUGCCCCAGUGCUCAGGAGGAUUGUGCUCACAGAAAGGACCCUGCAGCCAUCUGGAUCAUGCUGGGCUCACCCUUCGAGAAGGACACGAGUCAGGCUCUGCUCUCAGCCACGCCAGUCACAGAAGAGCUGAAGAAAUCUGGGCCCUCCCAAAGUGGUUUAUUUAAAUACAACAGCAUCUCAUGGCACACACUGGCUGUGCUGGAUGCCUGAUACACUGCUGGGUUAUUUCUGUCACCUUCAGUAUUGACAGGCAUUCUCUCUCUGUCCCUUUGCAGCUGUCCAGAAGCAUCACAGUGAGCAGUUUUUGGUUCCCUGUCCCAAGUCAGACAAUUAAUUACUUGUCUUCCCCUAACCAGCCUCUUAAUCAGCUAUUGGAGAGGGAAAUAAACUUGAUGCCUGGCUUUAGGAGAACAAAAUGA